CUCACUUUGUAGCCCAGGCUGGCCUUGAACUCACAGUGAUCCUCCUGCCUCAGCCUCCUGAGUGCUGGGAU
rnacentral:miRNA from 1 species